AGCUAAAAGAAGAAUUAGAAGAAAGCUGCAUGAAUAAAGAUGGGAUCCUUCAUGAUACAGAAAAGACCUCAGCAGAGCAGUACGAAAGAGAAGCAGCUAAGAGGGAAAAGGAUUCUCUUGAGCAAAAGAUUAAAGAGCUGCUACAAAUGUUAGAGAACCAAGAAAGAGCCUUCAAGAUAUUUAGAGUCAAAAUCACCAGCAAGAUGAGAGAAAGAGACAAGCUUCUGAGAAGGAUGAACAAGAGGAUUGAGAGGCUGGAGAUCUUAAGAAAGAUAAGGGAAGAACAAGAGGAAUACUACAUGAAGAAAGAGGAGCAGAUCAAAAGAGAGGCAAGUGAGAGGGAAAAAGACCCUUCUGAGCGAAAGGUUAAAGAGCUGCAGAGACAGUUGGAGAACCAAAAGAGAGUUUUGGAGAGAUUAACAGCCAGAGUGAGAAAGGAGAUAAGAGAAAGAGAGAAGACCUCAGCAGAAGAGUGGGCCAGAGGAGAGGCAACUGAGAGGGAAAAGGAACCUCUUGAACAAAAGGCUAAAGAAUUACAGUCAAAGAUGGAGGGCGACAGAAGUGCCAUCUUGAAGGAAGUUAGACUCAAAACGACAAAGAUGAGAGAAAGAGAAAACCUUCUAAGAAGGAUGAACGAGAGGUUUGAGAUGUUGGAGAUCUUGGGGAUGAUAAAGGAUGAGCUAGGGGAAUGCUGCAAGAAGACAGAUGAGCUUUGUAAUGCAGCCAAGACCUUGGCAGAAUGCACUAAAGGAGAGCCAUCUGAGAGGGAAAAGGAGCUUCUUGAGCAAAUGGUUAAAGAAUUGCAGCAAAAGUUGGAGGACCGAGAAAAACCUUCGAGAGAUUUAGAGACAAACUCACAAAGGAAAUGA
ensembl:lncRNA